GAUGAACGCUGGCGGCGUGCCUAAUACAUGCAAGUCGAGCGAACAGACGAGGAGCUUGCUCCUCUGACGUUAGCGGCGGACGGGUGAGUAACACGUGGAUAACCUACCUAUAAGACUGGGAUAACUUCGGGAAACCGGAGCUAAUACCGGAUAAUAUAUUGAACCGCAUGGUUCAAUAGUGAAAGACGGUUUUGCUUUCACUUAUAGAUGGCUCCGCGCCGCAUUAGCUAGUUGGUAAGGUAACGGCUUACCAAGGCAACGAUGCGUAGCCGACCUGAGAGGGUGAUCGGCCACACUGGAACGGAGACACGGUCCAGACUCCUACGGGAGGCAGCAGUAGGGAAUCUUCCGCAAUGGGCGAAAGCCGUACGGAGCAACGCCGCGUGAGUGAUGAAGGUCUUCGGAUCGUAAAACUCUGUUAUUAGGGAAGAACAAAUGUGUAAGUAACUAUGCACGACUUGACGGUACCUAAUCAGAAAGCCACGGCUAACUACGUG
rnacentral:rRNA from 1 species